CAGUCGCCACGGGAAUACGUAGGGUGCGAGCGUUAAUCGGAAUUACUGGGCGUAAAGCGUGCGCAGGCGGUUCGUUAAGACAGAUGUGAAAUCCCCGGGCUUAACCUGGGAACUGCAUUUGUGACUGGCGAGCUAGAGUAUGGCAGAGGGGGGUAGAAUUCCACGUGUAGCAGUGAAAUGCGUAGAGAUGUGGAGGAAUACCGAUGGCGAAGGCAGCCCCCUGGGCCAAUACUGACGCUCAUGCACGAAAGCGUGGGGAGCAAACAGGAUUAGAUACCCGAGUAGUCCCUGUCUCUUAUAA
rnacentral:rRNA from 1 species